UUAGUUUCAUGAAGGAAUUUCAUUUAGGAUUUAAGAGUUCCUGAAUGUGGGGAACAUCUGGAGAGACUGUUAUUUGUAACAAUUUUUUUUAAAAAAACUUAUUUUCUAAUCAAAUUAAGAUGCUCAUGAUAGAGAAGCAGCUUAUGAUACUGUUUGAGUUUGGAUUUUGGGGUUACAUUAGGUGUUAAUAUUGGCUCUGCCACUUUUUAAAUUUGAUAUUAGACUAGUGAAGUUAACCUUUAAUUGAAAAUGGUGAUAACUUGUUUUAUAACACAAUGAGAAUUCAGUUAGUGGAUACGUCAAUUAGCUGAGAUGUGAAAAUGUUUAUUUUGAUGCUUGGCACAAAGAAAGCAUGAAAUAAGUAUUAGAUACUGUUACUAUUAUUCUUUGAAAAUAAUUAUGUAGUAGGAUUUCCUUCUUGAAAUUGUAUUUUCAGGGCUUGAGAUAUAACUCAUUGGUAAAACAUUUGUCUUGUGUGCACAGGGCCCUUUGACUGCCAGCACCACACAAAAAAGUUUUUCAUUAUAUUUUGAAAAAUAUCUCAAUAAAUCAUAUUUAUCUGAAUAAUAGUUCAGAAUUUACACAUGCCAAUGUUCAGUCAUCCCUCAGAAUCUGCUAGUAAUUGGUGCAGGCCCCCUCUAAACACAUCAUAAUUUGUGGAUGGAUGCCCAAGUCCCUUCUAUAAGAUGGUCUGGUAUUUGCAUUUAACCUAUGCAUAUCCUCCCAUAUACUUUAAAUCAUCCCUAGAUUACUUAUAAUUUUUUUAAACAUUUAUUUAUUUUUUUAGAAGUAGUUAGACACAAUAGCUUUAUUUUAUUUAUUUAUUUUUAUGUGGUGCUGAGGAUCGAACCCAGCACCUUGCAUGUGCUAGACGAGCACUCUACCACUGAGCCACAGUCCCAGCCCCAGAAUUUUUAAUAGUGAAAACAAGAACCUGGGACCGUCAUAGUUGUGAUUAUUUUGAACUUAAAAAUCUUAAUAUAAAUUUUAUACUCUGUUUUAAUUAGUUUUCAAGUUAAAAACUAU
rnacentral:lncRNA from 1 species